CUUGUCUAUAAAAACUAUAAGAUGAUAGUUAGUAGACCCCUUGUAGGAUUUAUUUCCCUUGAAUGACAAAUUUUGUCGAGCCUGAUACUUUUGUUGCAGAAAGCUCGACAUAGGGAUAGUCUUCAUGCGGCUGUGGCGUUAGCUAACUUCUUACAAGCUUUAUAUUUUAGAAGGUGGAAGACCUGGAUACUUCAUACUUUAUUUAUAGAUGCCUCAUAUUACGAAGUUUCUGUCUGACAGAUGUCCGUUGUCCUUUAACUCAUUUUCAUGGUUAAAUAACAAUUGAAAAUAAAGGUACAAAACCAUUU
rnacentral:lncRNA from 1 species